CCCGGCGCAGCCCGCAUCCCGCGGGAUCGUUCCCACCGGCUGCACUGGUCCCGCUGCCAAACGGCGACGGCGGGGCAGAGCCUUUGGCUGCCGGUGAAAGGAAGGAGCUGCUGGAGGUGGGUUACUGUGAAGCACCAUGCACGGGGCACACAUCUGUCUGAUGGGAAAGGAUGGCUGCUCUUGAUCUCUGGAAGUCACUGUGGUCCAGGAUGAUGAAGAUACUUAGCAAUCUCCCUUCUGAUGUAAAUGCCAGGAGAUGCCAGGGGACAUUUGAAACUGUUGAAUAAUUAGUGGAAUGCUUUGACAUCAACAACUAACAGGUCUCAUUUUGCAAAUCACACCUUAUGCUUUUAUCUGUAGCAGAACUGGGCUCAAUGGCAGAUGCAUUGCACCUACAAAUUUCUAUCCAAAAAAACAUUUUUUGUUGUUAUUUUUUACCCUUUUCAUCAUUAACUUUUGUAUUCAGUAUUAUUAGUAUUUUGAUACUUCAGGGACAUCUGAUGAGUCAUGGACCAAGCCCUCACUGUUGUAUUCUUAGAUAUUGCUUUCCUUAUCUCUUUCUUUCUUCUGUAGAAUACAAGUAUACCUGUGAUAAACUAGCAUAUCAUUUUUGUUCCACACCUUAAAAGCUUUUCUAAUAUGAAGGUUUAGAUCUAGAAUUAUAAUUGUGCAGGCUGCCGUAUGCACAAGCAAAAUGGUAGCGCUUGCCAGGUAGCUUGCAAUGAUCUACUGAGAAUUUCACUAUUUUUUAAACUGAAUGUGGAGGUGAAAGAUGCACCUAUCUCUGAAAGACUGACAACUUGUAUGUCAGGCUUCUUGCUGGUGUCAUUUAAAAUAGCUGAAAUACAGUGUUGCCACUCCCUCCCUCCAUCCACUGAAAUGAGGCUUAUACUGGAAAUGCUGACAAGUCCCUUAUCUUUUGAGAUGGCACCAUGCAUGGUUUUAAAUACUGGUUAUAAAUGUUAAUGCAUUAUCUGAAAGAUUUUUUUUCCACAUGUAGGCAGCUCGGGAUUGAGUCUCAGUAAUAAAUUUAACGAGUUCAGGGGGAACACACAGUAUGCUUAUGUGAGUAUUAGAAUGAUUGGCAUUUUUGCAAACAGCAUAUGAUAAGUGCUACAAUUUUAUUUUCAAAGUUUAAUCAAUAGAGAGCUCUUUGAUAUUGCCAUGUACUUUACAAAUAGAUGCUUCCUUGGGAUGACAGCAAAACAACUUCUCUAUCCUGGUGUGUUUGUGCUAAGGAUUUAAUCAAUCUGCUUUUGUGAUUGUCAUCAAUUUUGAUAUUCCAAAAAAUAAGUAGAAGUUAUAAAAUAAUUACACUUCAGAGUGGCAUCCUGCUGCUGCUGCUAGCCUGGGUCGUCUGGCUGUACAAAGGGUUAAAAGGGUACAGAGUCCCUCACGGUGCUGAGUACAGGGGCAUGGGCCAUGUACCAGUUUACUCCCAGGCUUUGUAAACCCAUGCCAGCUGUUGCAUAGGAAGUUGAGGUGGAUCUUCGAGGUCUUAAGAAGGACUUUAUCACUGUCAUGUGUUAGCUUUUGGAAGUGAAUUUCCUCUCAAAUAAGAGAAGUCAGAAAUGACCUUUACCCCCACUACUGGGAGAUCACAGCAUUUACACUGCAGUCCUCCCCCCCGGUAAUUUUGAUCUACAUGGGUAGGCUGAAGUGGUUGAAGCUCCUUGUGUGUGAGCACGAGCAUGCACCUAGGCCAAAAGCCCAGUGCUGGUGCU